rnacentral:lncRNA from 1 species
ACAGUCACCUUCCAAGAUACUGAGGAUUAAGACAUCAACAUAUGGAUUUAAGGGGACACAAUUCAACCCCUUGCAAAGAGCUACAGAUGUCUUUAUUCUACUACUCAUAAAAUGUCUUAGGAAUACAAUAGCCAUUAGAACAUUAACUGGUUGCAAAAGUUGAAUUGCUGAAGAAACCAGCUGUUUUUCAGAAAGAGAAAAAGCUUUCAUGCAGCAUUC